rnacentral:piRNA from 1 species
UCAAUUUGAUGGUCACGCAAAAAAUCAC